AUGGUUAAAGAAGAAAACAGGAGUUCUGUUAAAUUUCAAGUAUUCAGUUUCACCAAUAAGAUACGGAGACUUGCUUCACAUUUGGAAUUAUGCAAAAGGAUUUUUCAUGGAAAGAGGUCUGCGAGACUUUUGGGAAAACGUCGACAUUUGCUGGCUUAUCUGGCAAUGAAAAAUAGAGUACGUUAUAAGAAAUUAAUCGAUCAAUUGAAUAUUUGGGAAGGAAAUUGCUGA
rnacentral:rRNA from 1 species